rnacentral:lncRNA from 1 species
CCGGAUUUGUAAUCACAUAAGCAACACGACGGGUGCCGCAUGUGGAGCAGGAUCUGCUUACCCUUCCGGAGCACCUGAGAUCACCCCUAGUUUUUUGGUGGGGUUCGUGUUGUUUAUUCUUUAGUUUUCUAUGUUGUGUCAUGUGUACUAUUGUUUUUCUGUUUGUCUUUUUCAUUUUUAGCCAUGGCGUUGUCAGUUUGUUUUAGAUUUAUGAGUUUGACUGUCCCUUUGGUAUCUUUCGUCCCUCUUUUAUACUAA